rnacentral:rRNA from 1 species
GAAAUAGAACCUGAAACCGUGUGCUUACAAGUAGUCAGAGCCCGUUAAUGGGUGAUGGCGUGCCUUUUGUAGAAUGAACCGGCGAGUUACGAUUUGAUGCAAGGUUAAGCAGUAAAUGUGGAGCCGUAGCGAAAGCGAGUCUGAAUAGGGCGUUUAGUAUUUGGUCGUAGACCCGAAACCAGGUGAUCUACCCUUGGUCAGGUUGAAGUUCAGGUAACACUGAAUGGAGGACCGAACCGACUUACGUUGAAAAGUGAGCGGAUGAACUGAGGGUAGCGGAGAAAUUCCAAUCGAACCUGGAGAUAGCUGGUUCUCUCCGAAAUAGCUUUAGGGCUAGCCUCAAGUGAUGAUUAUUGGAGGUAGAGCACUGUUUGGACGAGGGGCCCCUCUCGGGUUACCGAAUUCAGACAAACUCCGAAUGCCAAUUAAUUUAACUUGGGAGUCAGAACAUGGGUGAUAAGGUCCGUGUUCGAAAGGGAAACAGCCCAGACCACCAGCUAAGGUCCCAAAAUAUAUGUUAAGUGGAAAAGGAUGUGGCGUUGCCCAGACAACUAGGAUGUUGGCUUAGAAGCAGCCAUCAUUUAAAGAGUGCGUAAUAGCUCACUAGUCGAGUGACACUGCGCCGAAAAUGUACCGGGGCUAAACAUAUUACCGAAGCUGUGGAUUGUCCUUUGGACAAUGGUAGGAGAGCGUUCUAAGGGCGUUGAAGCAUGAUCGUAAGGACAUGUGGAGCGCUUAGAAGUGAGAAUGCCGGUGUGAGUAGCGAAAGACGGGUGAGAAUCCCGUCCACCGAUUGACUAAGGUUUCCAGAGGAAGGCUCGUCCGCUCUGGGUUAGUCGGGUCCUAAGCUGAGGCCGACAGGCGUAGGCGAUGGAUAACAGGUUGAUAUUCCUGUACCACCUAUAAUCGUUUUAAUCGAUGGGGGGACGCAGUAGGAUAGGCGAAGCGUGCGAUUGGAUUGCACGUCUAAGCAGUAAGGCUGAGUAUUAGGCAAAUCCGGUACUCGUUAAGGCUGAGCUGUGAUGGGGAGAAGACAUUG